rnacentral:misc_RNA from 1 species
UCUCCGUAGGUGAACCUGCGGAGGGAUCAUUACAGAGUAUCAUGCCCUUCGGGGUAGAUCUCCCACCCUGUGUAUUAUAUACCUUUUGUUGCUUUGGCGGGCCGCCCCCCGGGGCGUGGGCCUAGGCUCACCGUGCCCGCCAGAGGACCAAAACUCUUGUGUUUAGUGAUGUCUGAGUACUAUAUAAUAGUUAAAACUUUCAACAACGGAUCUCUUGGUUCUGGCAUCGAUGAAGAACGCAGC